rnacentral:misc_RNA from 1 species
GACGUCACUCGGUUAUGAAUUGCUUUGAACCUAGCAAACUCAUCAACUUAGGAAAGCACAUAAACUAGCUGGAUUUAGUGCUGAAAUGAUUCUUUUAGGCUUGAAAAAUUAAGUGAAAAAAAAAUCAAGUUCUAUGCCACGUGCAAAGAGCCAUCCACCACCAUAAAGAGGCAGGACAGGAAUUUUUCCCGAAAUCCUUCACUAGCUACUCGUGCCAUCCAGUAAAUCCAUUGGAAGCAGAUGAAUCGCUAACAGCCAGCCAUGACACCUGCUACGUGUCCGGCAGCAAUUGCAUCACAAUCGAAAAGGAGCAAUUGUUCUUAAAAAGGCGACAAAACACGCACUGUUGGACGCAUUUUAUCGAAGCAGUUGGUGCCGGUUGCAAAUGCCUUUCAAGAAAAUAUUAACUUUUUAAUUAAUUUGCUUUAUAUUGCAUUUUCAUCUUCAUCAUUGUCUUCUGCUUAGGUGUCCAGGCAAACUUCCGAAAAGCUUCGCGUGUUAAUUCAGUUUUGUUCAACUUUUGAAUUGAAAUCAAUCAAAAAUGUUAAUUUCCCUGCUUCGGACCGAAAGGGUUUAAUGGAUUUUUCUGUUUCAGGACGUUUGUCUGGUUAAGUCGAAUAAAUGCGCCACGUUGCACAUGACAAGGUUUUUUCUUAAGCGCAACCAAUCAGACGCUUGCUGGUCUGACAUUGUCGCUAUGGAUGUCGAAUCGGGUUGCAACUGUUUGUACCAUUAUAAAUAUAGGGUUCAUUUUUAAGCGAAAAAAUAUACCAUUAUAGUAAAAUACAUGCAAUUUCCACUUCAA